CACUCCUACGGGAGGCAGCAGUGGGGAAUAUUGGACAAUGGGCGCAAGCCUGAUCCAGCCAUGCCGCGUGAGUGAUGAAGGCCCUAGGGUUGUAAAGCUCUUUCACCGGUGAAGAUAAUGACGGUAACCGGAGAAGAAGCCCCGGCUAACUUCGUGCCAGCAGCCGCGGUAAUACGAAGGGGGCUAGCGUUGUUCGGAUUUACUGGGCGUAAAGCGCACGUAGGCGGACUAUUAAGUCAGGGGUGAAAUCCCGGGGCUCAACCCCGGAACUGCCUUUGAUACUGGUAGUCUUGAGUUCGAGAGAGGUGAGUGGAAUUCCGAGUGUAGAGGUGAAAUUCGUAGAUAUUCGGAGGAACACCAGUGGCGAAGGCGGCUCACUGGCUCGAUACUGACGCUGAGGUGCGAAAGCGUGGGGAGCAAACAGGAUUAGAAACCCUGGUAGUCC
rnacentral:rRNA from 1 species